rnacentral:rRNA from 1 species
GGGUUGUGAGGUUAAGCGACUAAGCGUACACGGUGGAUGCCCUGGCAGUCAGAGGCGAUGAAGGGCGUGCUAAUCUGCGAUAAGCGCCGGUAAGGUGAUAUGAACCGUUAUAACCGGCGAUACCCGAAUGGGGAAACCCAGUGUGAUUCGUCACACUAUCAUUAACUGAAUCCAUAGGUUAAUGAGGCGAACCGGGGGAACUGAAACAUCUAAGUACCCCGAGGAAAAGAAAUCAACCGAGAUUCCCCCAGUAGCGGCGAGCGAACGGGGAGGAGCCCAGAGCCUGAAUCAGCAUGUGUGUUAGUGGAAGCGUCUGGAAAGGCGCGCGAUACAGGGUGACAGCCCCGUACACAAAAGCGCAUGUGCUGUGAGCUCGAUGAGUAGGGCGGGACACGUGGUAUCCUGUCUGAAUAUGGGGGGACCAUCCUCCAAGGCUAAAUACUCCUGACUGACCGAUAGUGAACCAGUACCGUGAGGGAAAGGCGAAAAGAACCCCGGCGAGGGGAGUGAAAAAGAACCUGAAACCGUGUACGUACAAGCAGUGGGAGCACCCUUCGGGGUGUGACUGCGUACCUUUUGUAUAAUGGGUCAGCGACUUAUAUUCUGUAGCAAGGUUAACCGUAUAGGGGAGCCGGAGGGAAACCGAGUCUUAAUUGGGCGUUAAGUUGCAGGGUAUAGACCCGAAACCCGGUGAUCUAGCCAUGGGCAGGUUGAAGGUUGGGUAACACUAACUGGAGGACCGAACCGACUAAUGUUGAAAAAUUAGCGGAUGACCUGUGGCUGGGGGUGAAAGGCCAAUCAAACCGGGAGAUAGCUGGUUCUCCCCGAAAGCUAUUUAGGUAGCGCCUCGUGAAUUCAUCUCCGGGGGUAGAGCACUGUUUCGGCUAGGGGGCCAUCCCGGCUUACCAACCCGAUGCAAACUGCGAAUACCGGAGAAUGUUAUCACGGGAGACACACGGCGGGUGCUAACGUCCGUCGUGAAGAGGGAAACAACCCAGACCGCCAGCUAAGGUCCCAAAGUCAUGGUUAAGUGGGAAACGAUGUGGGAAGGCCCAGACAGCCAGGAUGUUGGCUUAGAAGCAGCCAUCAUUUAAAGAAAGCGUAAUAGCUCACUGGUCGAGUCGGCCUGCGCGGAAGAUGUAACGGGGCUAAACCAUGCACCGAAGCUGCGGCAGCGAACGUAUCACCCAAGACAACUUUACGGAGUUGACGAUUGACGGAGCGAAGCGACGUCAAAGCGUUCAUUAAAGUCGAGUUGGCUUAGGGAUACGUUCGUUGGGUAGGGGAGCGUUCUGUAAGCCUGUGAAGGUGUGUCGUGAGGCAUGCUGGAGGUAUCAGAAGUGCGAAUGCUGACAUAAGUAACGAUAAAGCGGGUGAAAAGCCCGCUCGCCGGAAGACCAAGGGUUCCUGUCCAACGUUAAUCGGGGCAGGGUGAGUCGACCCCUAAGGCGAGGCCGAAAGGCGUAGUCGAUGGGAAACGGGUUAAUAUUCCCGUACUUGGUGUUACUGCGAAGGGGGACGGAGAAGGCUAUGUUGGCCGGGCGACGGUUGUCCCGGUUUAAGCGUGUAGGUGUGUGUUCCAGGUAAAUCCGGUUCACUUUAACACUGAGGCGUGACGACGAGGCACUACGGUGCUGAAGCAACAAAUGCCCUGCUUCCAGGAAAAGCCUCUAAGCAUCAGGUAACAUCAAAUCGUACCCCAAACCGACACAGGUGGUCAGGUAGAGAAUACCAAGGCGCUUGAGAGAACUCGGGUGAAGGAACUAGGCAAAAUGGUGCCGUAACUUCGGGAGAAGGCACGCUGACACGUAGGUGAAGUGAUUUACUCAUGGAGCUGAAGUCAGUCGAAGAUACCAGCUGGCUGCAACUGUUUAUUAAAAACACAGCACUGUGCAAACACGAAAGUGGACGUAUACGGUGUGACGCCUGCCCGGUGCCGGAAGGUUAAUUGAUGGGGUCAGCGCAAGCGAAGCUCCUGAUCGAAGCCCCGGUAAACGGCGGCCGUAACUAUAACGGUCCUAAGGUAGCGAAAUUCCUUGUCGGGUAAGUUCCGACCUGCACGAAUGGCGUAAUGAUGGCCAGGCUGUCUCCACCCGAGACUCAGUGAAAUUGAACUCGCUGUGAAGAUGCAGUGUACCCGCGGCAAGACGGAAAGACCCCGUGAACCUUUACUAUAGCUUGACACUGAACAUUGAGCCUUGAUGUGUAGGAUAGGUGGGAGGCUUUGAAGUGUGGACGCCAGUCUGCAUGGAGCCGACCUUGAAAUACCACCCUUUAAUGUUUGAUGUUCUAACGUGGACCCGUAAUCCGGGUUGCGGACAGUGUCUGGUGGGUAGUUUGACUGGGGCGGUCUCCUCCUAAAGAGUAACGGAGGAGCACGAAGGUUGGCUAAUCCUGGUCGGACAUCAGGAGGUUAGUGCAAUGGCAUAAGCCAGCUUGACUGCGAGCGUGACGGCGCGAGCAGGUGCGAAAGCAGGUCAUAGUGAUCCGGUGGUUCUGAAUGGAAGGGCCAUCGCUCAACGGAUAAAAGGUACUCCGGGGAUAACAGGCUGAUACCGCCCAAGAGUUCAUAUCGACGGCGGUGUUUGGCACCUCGAUGUCGGCUCAUCACAUCCUGGGGCUGAAGUAGGUCCCAAGGGUAUGGCUGUUCGCCAUUUAAAGUGGUACGCGAGCUGGGUUUAGAACGUCGUGAGACAGUUCGGUCCCUAUCUGCCGUGGGCGCUGGAGAACUGAGGGGGGCUGCUCCUAGUACGAGAGGACCGGAGUGGACGCAUCACUGGUGUUCGGGUUGUCAUGCCAAUGGCACUGCCCGGUAGCUAAAUGCGGAAGAGAUAAGUGCUGAAAGCAUCUAAGCACGAAACUUGCCCCGAGAUGAGUUCUCCCUGAGACUUAGAGUCUCCUGAAGGAACGUUGAAGACGACGACGUUGAUAGGCCGGGUGUGUAAGCGCAGCGAUGCGUUGAGCUAACCGGUACUAAUGAACCGUGAGGCUUAACCUUACAACGCCGAAG